CUGAGAGAAAACAGGACAUGUGCUGCAGCACUAGGCAAAAUUGACAUGUCUGCAUGGAGCAGUAGAGCAGAAGCAGAAGGGUACCUACAGCAGAUCAGAUCUAUAUCCAGUCCCAGUUGCAUUGUGUGAGGUGCAGUUCCAGACCAUUAGGGAUGAGGAGUCCACCAAUACAGACUUCAAAUCUCAACUCUUCCUGAUCCCUGUUCUACUGCAGCAGCCCAGCUUCAAGGUCCUGCAGCACACUGCUCUGUGCCAUGAUCUUUUACAGCUGACUUUGACAUACACCACAGGAUCUGGCAGCAGUCUACCUUUUUCCAAGAAAGGAGCUCUCUUCUUAUUUGUAAAUAAUGCAAACGUUUUCAUGAACAUCACAUCAUCUUCAUUACUGAUAUUCUGACUCCGGGGCUCCUAGGAGAUUUUAGGCUACACUUUGUACCAAAAAUAAUGAUGUUAAUCCUUUUAUUGGGAAUUAUCUAACGGCCUUUCUUGACCUGACAUUAUCAGGCAUGUCAAAUGAGUGGCGAUUCUGGAAAAAUACUAGUAGAAACAAUAUUGUGAAUACAAACACAUAACAUUGAACUUAAUCAGCAGUGAAUCUCUAGUUGGACAACUAUAAUCUUUUUUUAAAGAGAAAGAGUAGGAUGAAAAAUUACAGCACAUACUAAAAAAAUCCCCCAUCCCAUCCACAAGAUCAGAAGCCAGCAAAAAAGCACCACCAACAGCAAAACCUUUCUUCUUCCUAGCAACAGUCUAAACUCUAAUCCUAAAUUGUUCCUGAAUUUUCACAUGGUUUAUGACAAAAUAUUAGGAACUUGGAGUUUAUUUUUGAAGAACAGAAAUUUAAGGCGUAGUCUGUAUAGAAAUAACAGUUCUUCAUUAAAACAAAACCAAACUCUCAGAAUAGAUUGAAUGGAUGAAGUUUUUCAGUCUUGUGAAUAGGAAAAUUUUUCAUUUUCCUAUGUCAGAAUGAAAUACAUCAUUUCUGAUAAAAAGAAUUCAGCACCUCUGACUUGAAGACUUUCAAGACAUGUUUUUCCUUUGCUAUGUUUCUAUCUCUGUUGACCAGAGGAGCCAAAUUUAAACUUUCCAGAGAUGAAAGCUCUAUUUCUGGAUCAAGUCUAUUGUAUACAUUAUGUGCCACUUGGUCUUUAUGCCAGGAAAGAGUUCUGAAACUGUCUCUCAGACAAGCAGACUGAAAUGAGCACUGGCAUAAGCUCCCCAGGGAGGUGGUUGAGUCACCAUCCCUGGAUGUGUUUAAAAACCAUUUGGAUGUGGUGCUUAGGAACAUAAUUUAGCAGAGAGUUGUUAGAGUUAGGGUAGUAUGGUUAGGCUGUGGUUGGACUCGAUGAUCUUUAAGGUCUUUUCCAACCUGAGCGAUUCUAUGAUUCCAUGAGUCC
rnacentral:lncRNA from 1 species